CAAGUCGAGCGAACUGAUUAGAAGCUUGCUUCUAUGACGUUAGCGGCGGACGGGUGAGUAACACGUGGGCAACCUGCCUGUAAGACUGGGAUAACUUCGGGAAACCGAAGCUAAUACCGGAUAGGAUCUUCUCCUUCAUGGGAGAUGAUUGAAAGAUGGUUUCGGCUAUCACUUACAGAUGGGCCCGCGGUGCAUUAGCUAGUUGGUGAGGUAACGGCUCACCAAGGCAACGAUGCAUAGCCGACCUGAGAGGGUGAUCGGCCACACUGGGACUGAGACACGGCCCAGACUCCUACGGGAGGCAGCAGUAGGGAAUCUUCCGCAAUGGACGAAAGUCUGACGGAGCAACGCCGCGUGAGUGAUGAAGGCUUUCGGGUCGUAAAACUCUGUUGUUAGGGAAGAACAAGUACGAGAGUAACUGCUUGUACCUUGACGGUACCUAACCAGAAAGCCACGGCUAACUACGUGCCAGCAGCCGCGGUAAUACGUAGGUGGCAAGCGUUAUCCGGAAUUAUUGGGCGUAAAGCGCGCGCAGGCGGUUUCUUAAGUCUGAUGUGAAAGCCCACGGCUCAACCGUGGAGGGUCAUUGGAAACUGGGGAACUUGAGUGCAGAAGAGAAAAGCGGAAUUCCACGUGUAGCGGUGAAAUGCGUAGAGAUGUGGAGGAACACCAGUGGCGAAGGCGGCUUUUUGGUCUGUAACUGACGCUGAGGCGCGAAAGCGUGGGGGAGCAAACAGGAUUAGAUACCCUGGUAGUCCACGCCGUAACGAUGAGUGCUAAGUGUUAGAGGGUUUCCGCCCUUUAGUGCUGCAGCU
rnacentral:rRNA from 1 species